CCUACGGGAGGCUGCAGUGGGGAAUAUUGCGCAAUGGUGGCAACCCUGACGCAGCAACGCCGCGUGAUUGAAGCAGGCCUUCGGGUUGUAAAGAUCUUUAAUCGGGGACGAAUUUUGACGGUACCCGAAGAAUAAGCUUCGGCGAACUACGUGCCAGCAGCCGCGGUAAUACGGAGGGAGCCAGCGUUAUCCGGAUUUACUGGGUGGAAAGGGCUUGGAGGCGGGCCUGCAAGCCAGAAGUGAAAUCUGGGGGCUUAACCCCCAAACUGCUGUUGGAACUGCGUGUCUUGAGUGGUGGAGAGGCAGGCGGAAUGCCCAGUGUAGCGGUGAAAUGCGUAGAUAUUGGGAGGAACACCAGUGGCGAAGGCAGCCUGCUGGAUAUUAACUGACGCUGAGGCGCGAAAGCGUGGGUAGCAAACAGGAUUAGAUACCCGAGUAGUC
rnacentral:rRNA from 1 species